rnacentral:rRNA from 1 species
AACGUAGGACACAAGGCGUUAUCCGGAGUUACUGGGCGUAAAGGGCGUGUAGGCGGACGUGUAAGUCUAUUCUGAAAGCUACCUCGGCUAAACUGGGAGAGGCGAAUGGAGACGUGCAUAUCUAGAGGUGAGGAAGAGGAAAGUGGAAUUCCGCGUGUAGUGGUGAAAUGCGGUAGAGAUGCGGAGGAACGACCAGUGGCGGAAAGCGAACUUUCUGGUCCUUUAA